rnacentral:rRNA from 1 species
UAAUACGAAUGGGGCAAGCGUUGUUCGGAAUCACUGGGCUUAAAGCGUAUGCAGGCGGCCAUGCAAGUCAGAAGUGAAAUCCCUGGGCUUAACCCAGGAAUUGCUUUUGAAACUGCACGGCUAGAAUCCCGGAGAGGUUAACAGAAUUCCGAGUGUAGAGGUGAAAUUCGCAGAUAUUCGGAGGAAUACCAGUGGCGCAAGCGGUUAACUGGACGGGCAUUGACGCUCAGAUACGAAAGCGUGGGUAGCAAACAGGAUUAGAUACCCUGGUAGUCCACGCCAUAAACGAUGUGUGCUAGUUAUUGGAGCCUACGGUUUCAGUGACGCAGCGAAAGCGGUAAGCACACCGCCUGGGGAGUACGGUCGCAAGAUUA